rnacentral:rRNA from 1 species
UACAGAGGGUGCAAGCGUUGCUCGGAAUUAUUGGGCGUAAAGGGUAGGUAGGUGGUCUUAUUUGUCUGGGGUGAAAGCCUUGAGCUUAACUCAAGAAGUGCCUCAGAAACGGUGAGACUAGAGUACUGGAGAGGAUAGUGGAAUUCCCGGUGUAGCGGUGAAAUGCGUAGAGAUCGGGAGGAACACCAGCGGCGAAGGCGGCUAUCUGGACAGUAACUGACACUAAACUACGAAAGCGUGGGGAGCAAACAGG